GCGCAGGUGGCGAAAUUGGUAGACGCACUACCUUGAGGUGGUAGCGCCUGUUAUGGGCUUGGAGGUUCAAAUCCUCUCCUGCGCA
rnacentral:tRNA from 1 species